GAUGAACGCUGGCGGCGUGCUUAACACAUGCAAGUCGAACGAAGCAUUUGCGACAGAUUUUUUCGGAAUGAAGUUGCUUAUGACUGAGUGGCGGACGGGUGAGUAACGCGUGGGUAACCUGCCUUGUACUGGGGGAUAGCAGCUGGAAACGGCUGGUAAUACCGCAUAAGCGCACAAUGUUGCAUGACAUGGUGUGAAAAACUCCGGUGGUAUAAGAUGGACCCGCGUCUGAUUAGCUAGUUGGUGAGAUAACAGCCCACCAAGGCGACGAUCAGUAGCCGACCUGAGAGGGUGACCGGCCACAUUGGGACUGAGACACGGCCCAGACUCCUACGGGAGGCAGCAGUGGGGAAUAUUGCACAAUGGAGGAGACUCUGAUGCUGCGACGCCGCGUGAGUGAAGAAGUAAUUCGUUAUGUAAAGCUCUAUCAGCAGGGAAGAUAGUGACGGUACCUGACUAAGAAGCGCCGGCUAAAUACGUG
rnacentral:rRNA from 1 species